UGUGUUGUUUUUACUCUCAAAUGUAAGUCGCUUGGGAUAAAAGUGUCUGCUAAAUGACUGUAGAAUAGAAUGAAAGCAAAAGUGAACUCACUUAUCAUGUCAUUUUUGUUAUUUCUGGUUCUUUCUACAGCGAAGCGGCUAAAGAAAGGCAUGGCGACAGCCAAACAGAGACUGGGAAAGAUUUUAAAGAUCCAUCGAAAUGGAAAGCUCCUUCUGUAGCAUGAGGUGGACUGUUGAGGGACUGAGGAUGGACGACGAGCUGGGUCGGACCCCAGACUCAUUGCCCUGCUCACCGAGAAAUGCCGACAACAGGAAAAAACUGAAACAAGAUGGAGGAAGAAAAAAAUCAUGCAUUUCUCAAUUUGUAAGAAGAACAUCACUCAAAUAGGUUUUUGCCUCGACUUAUACUUUAUAACUUUCAGAUAUUAAAGUGUACAGAAGCUAUUCUAAAUAUUUUUUAAGAAAACACGUCUCAUUUUCCUACAGCUGUCAGUUUAUCAGGGGUUGCUCCAACAUGAAGUAGAAAUACAUGGCAGUCAUUCCAAGACAUGUGAAAGUAUCCCCGCUUUGCAUGGAUUCAGUUGCAUGUGCGCUUAGGUGGGGUUUUUGGGAGGGGGGUGGGUCUAUGGAUGCAGCUUAUCUUUACCAUACUGAGACAAAAUGGGAAAACAUUCCUCCUUCCGGGGUAAAAGAAAAUGUUUGCAGAGCACUAUCAGUAUAUUUAUUUAUUCUUCUCUUAGUCAGUGGAUACGAAAAAAAGGAGCAAACUGUAAAGCACAAGGUGGUUCACAGGUGGUUCACAUGUGGUUCACAGGCGUUUCACAGGUAAUUCACAGGUGGUUCGCAGGUGAUUCACAUGUGGUUCACAGGCGGUUCACAGGUAAUUCACAGGUGGCUCACAGUGAUUCACAGGUGGUUCACAUGUGGUUCAUAGGCGGUUCACAGGUAAUUCACAGGUGGCUCACAGUGAUUCACAGGUGGUUCACAUGUGGUUCACAGGCGGUUCACAGGUGGUUCACAUGUGGUUCACAGGCGGUUCACAGGUAAUUCACAGGUGGUUCACAUGUGGUUCACAUGUGGUUCACAGGCGGUUCACAGGUAAUUCACAGGUGGUUCGCAGGUGAUUCACAGGUGGCUCACAAAUGAUUCAUAGGUGGUCACAUGCGGUCUACAGGUGGUGAGGUUGGCCAGUUUAAAUUUGAGACAAGAGGCCGGUUCACCAGGAAGGGACAGGAAAACCCAGAUUGUGACACUACAUCGGACCUGGAAUGAUAAGCGUCAUCCGUGGCAGGUGGGCGGUUUCGAGGGGAUUCUUUCGCUCUCCUUUUGCUUUCGCAGGCAGCACCAACAAUCCAAACGAGCCAAACUCACAUCUGCGUUUUUACAGCUUAUAUAGAAUGUAGCUUGUAAAUAGCCUUUUAAUGUUUUUUAUCCUUUCCCCUUCAGGCUUAAUUCUACAUUUUUACCAGUUUUGCUAAUUAUGAAUAAAUGAAUAAAAGUAUAUAUAUGUAUAUGAAUAUAUGUUAUAUUCCUGAUUUUUAAUCUUUAUUUCAUUUUAUAGCAGAGACUUCAGUUUUUUAAUGUUAGUUUUAACGGUGCUGCCUGGAAAACAAGAGAAGUCAACAUUUAUCGUCACAUGGCCUUACAUACACAAAGCUCAUUGUAUUGUGAUUUUGUUUGAAUGAGAGACAAAACUGUAUAAAAAAACUAAAGUAAAACAAAAGAAAGUUUCUAUGACCAGCCUCUUGUUGGACUUGUAGUAUCCUGAAGGGUUUGGAGGUAUUUUAUUAGCACCUUGUGAAGUGUUUCUGUGUCAGUGAUGUAAUUUAUUAAUGUUUGUAGCUUUUUUAUACUUGUACAAUUCUUAAAAGUUUUGCUUUUGAAUAUGUCAUCAAGUUGUGAAAGUACCCUUUAAUUUUUUAUUUUUUUUUAAUUGUGUUUUUUUUUUUUUGGAGGGGGGGGUGCAUUUUGUUUUGUUUUGUUUGUUUUGGGGGGGGGCUCCAAACUUCAUGAACACACUUGGAAAAAAGACAAUGAUCUCCAUCAUGUCACAUUUCUGACAUUCUCGAACGUUUUCCGUCAUCCACUCAGAUCAAACUCCCGUCUGUGGGACAUGUUUUCAGGUUUCAUUUGUACAGUCCUUGCGUUGCUUUGUCGUGUUUUUUUUGUAUGUCCAACCAUUAAAUGCAUCCACUGUGCCACAACAGUGAGUCCUGCCUGUUGUAGCUGUCUUCCCUUACUGUUAUUUACAGCAUUAGUAAAUAUUUACAAUCUUUUUUGACCUGAAUCUAUAUUUUUAUGUAUUUAGAUGAUUCUGUUGGCGGUCAUGCUUCACUUUUUUAAGACACGGAGAAAACUCGAGGAACAAACAUAUUGUUGUUGAAUGAUAUGAUUGUUCGCCUUGUUUACUUUUGCAAUACGGUUACUGUGGAAAAAAUCCUCCUUUGUAAUGUGUUCCACUCCCACUUGCAAUGUUACAGCUUCUGUGGUGACAACUAAAAAUGUUUUUUUCCUGCUUCAUGUUGUCUUGCUUUGAAUCCAGCACCGCAUGAAAAAACAGAAAUUCUCCCGAGUUAUUAGUUAGAAAUACCACAAAUUUAACACCAUUAAAACUGUUUUUGGAA